rnacentral:rRNA from 1 species
GAUCAUGGCUCAGGAUGAACGCUAGCUACAGGCUUAACACAUGCAAGUCGAGGGGAAACGACAUCGAAAGCUUGCUUUCGAUGGGCGUCGACCGGCGCACGGGUGAGUAACGCGUAUCCAACCUGCCCACACUUGGGGAUAACCUUGCGAAAGUAAGACUAAUACCCGAUGAUAUCCCUAGAAGACAUCUGAAAGGGAUUUAAAGAUUUAUCGGUGAUGGAUGGGGAUGCGUCUGAUUAGCUUGUUGCGGGGUAACGGCCCACCAAGGCAACGAUCAGUAGGGGUUCUGAGAGGAAGGUCCCCCACAUUGGAACUGAGACACGGUCCAAACUCCUACGGGAGGCAGCAGUGAGGAAUAUUGGUCAAUGGGCGAGAGCCUGAACCAGCCAAGUAGCGUGCAGGACGACGGCCCUAUGGGUUGUAAACUGCUUUUAUAAGGGAAUAAAGUGAGUCUCGUGAGACUUUUUGCAUGUACCUUAUGAAUAAGGACCGGCUAAUUCCGUG